rnacentral:rRNA from 1 species
AGUGCAUGUGGUGGAUGCCUUGGCGAUCACAGGCGAUGAAGGACGCGGUAGCCUGCGAAAAGCUACGGGGAGCUGGCAAACGAGCUUUGAUCCGUAGAUGUCCGAAUGGGGAAACCCGGCCCUUUUGGGUCAUCCUGGACUGAAUACAUAGGUCCAGUGAAGCGAACGCGGUGAACUGAAACAUCUAAGUAACCGCAGGAAAAGAAAUCAACCGAGAUUCCCAAAGUAGUGGCGAGCGAAAUGGGAUGAGCCUUGCACUCUUUAUUUGUAUUGUUAGCCGAACGCUCUGGAAAGUGCGGCCAUAGCAGGUGAUAGCCCUGUAGGCGAAAACAGUAUGAAAGAACUAGGUGUGCGACAAGUAGGGCGGGACACGUGAAAUCCUGUCUGAAGAUGGGGGGACCAUCCUCCAAGGCUAAAUACUCGUGAUCGACCGAUAGUGAACCAGUACCGUGAGGGAAAGGCGAAAAGAACCCCGGGAGGGGAGUGAAAUAGAUCCUGAAACCGCAUGCAUACAAACAGUCGGAGCCUCGCAAGGGGUGACGGCGUACCUUUUGUAUAAUGGGUCAGCGACUUACGUUCAGUAGCAAGCUUAACCGUAUAGGGCAGGCGUAGCGAAAGCGAGUCCGAAUAGGGCGUUCAGUUGCUGGGCGUAGACCCGAAACCAGGUGAUCUAUCCAUGGCCAGGAUGAAGGUGCGGUAACACGUACUGGAGGUCCGAACCCACUAACGUUGAAAAGUUAGGGGAUGAGCUGUGGAUAGGGGUGAAAGGCUAAACAAACCUGGAAAUAGCUGGUUCUCUCCGAAAACUAUUUAGGUAGUGCCUCGUGUCUCACCUUCGGGGGUAGAGCACUGUCAUGGUUGGGGGGUCUAUUGCAGAUUACCCCGCCAUAGCAAACUCCGAAUACCGAAGAGUGCAAUCACGGGAGACAGACAUCGGGUGCUAACGUCCGGUGUCAAGAGGGAAACAACCCAGACCGCCAGCUAAGGUCCCCAAAUAUAGCUAAGUGGGAAACGAAGUGGGAAGGCUAAAACAGUCAGGAGGUUGGCUUAGAAGCAGCCACCCUUUAAAGAAAGCGUAAUAGCUCACUGAUCGAGUCGUCCUGCGCGGAAGAUGUAACGGGGCUAAGCUAUAUACCGAAGCUGCGGAUGCGAGCUUUGCUCGCAUGGUAGGAGAGCGUUCCGUAAGCCUGCGAAGGUGCCUUGUAAAGGGUGCUGGAGGUAUCGGAAGUGCGAAUGCUGACAUGAGUAGCGAUAAAGGGGGUGAAAGGCCCCCUCGCCGUAAGCCCAAGGUUUCCUACGCAACGUUCAUCGGCGUAGGGUGAGUCGGCCCCUAAGGCGAGGCAGAAAUGCGUAGCUGAUGGGAAGCAGGUCAAUAUUCCUGCACCAUUGUUAGAUGCGAUGGGGGGACGGAUCGCGGAAGGUUGUCCGGGUGUUGGAAGUCCCGGUCGCUGCAUUGGAGAAGGCGCUUAGGCAAAUCCGGGCGCGUAAUUCAAGGGUGUGGCGCGAGCUCCUUAGGGAGCGAAGCAAUUGGAAGUGGUUCCAAGAAAAGCCUCUAAGCUUCAGUCUAACGAUGACCGUACCGCAAACCGACACAGGUGGGCGAGAUGAGUAUUCUAAGGCGCUUGAGAGAACUCGGGAGAAGGAACUCGGCAAAUUGGUACCGUAACUUCGGGAUAAGGUACGCCCUUGUAGCUUGACUGGCCUGCGCCAGGAGGGUGAAGGGGUUGCAAUAAACUGGUGGCUGCGACUGUUUAAUAAAAACACAGCACUCUGCAAACACGAAAGUGGACGUAUAGGGUGUGACGCCUGCCCGGUGCCGGAAGAUUAAAUGAUGGGGUGCAAGCUCUUGAUUGAAGUCCCGGUAAACGGCGGCCGUAACUAUAACGGUCCUAAGGUAGCGAAAUUCCUUGUCGGGUAAGUUCCGACCUGCACGAAUGGCGUAACGAUGGCCACACUGUCUCCUCCCGAGACUCAGCGAAGUUGAAGUGUUUGUGAUGAUGCAAUCUACCCGCGGCUAGACGGAGAGACCCCAUGAACCUUUACUGUAGCUUUGCAUUGGACUUUGAACCGAUCUGUGUAGGAUAGGUGGGAGGCUAUGAAACCGGAACGCUAGUUUCGGUGGAGCCGUCCUUGAAAUACCACCCUGGUUUGUUUGAGGUUCUAACCUUGGCCCGUGAUCCGGGUCGGGGACAGUGCAUGGUAGGCAGUUUGACUGGGGCGGUCUCCUCCCAAAGCGUAACGGAGGAGUACGAAGGUACGCUAGGUACGGUCGGAAAUCGUGCUGAUAGUGCAAUGGCAUAAGCGUGCUUAACUGCGAGACCGACAAGUCGAGCAGGUGCGAAAGCAGGUCAUAGUGAUCCGGUGGUUCUGUAUGGAAGGGCCAUCGCUCAACGGAUAAAAGGUACUCUGGGGAUAACAGGCUGAUACCGCCCAAGAGUUCAUAUCGACGGCGGUGUUUGGCACCUCGAUGUCGGCUCAUCUCAUCCUGGGGCUGUAGCCGGUCCCAAGGGUAUGGCUGUUCGCCAUUUAAAGAGGUACGUGAGCUGGGUUUAAAACGUCGUGAGACAGUUUGGUCCCUAUCUGCCGUGGGCGUUGGAUAUUUGAAGGGGGCUGCUCCUAGUACGAGAGGACCGGAGUGGACGAACCUCUGGUGUACCGGUUGUCACGCCAGUGGCAUCGCCGGGUAGCUAUGUUCGGAAGAGAUAACCGCUGAAAGCAUCUAAGCGGGAAACUCGCCUUAAG